GUGUUCACUUCUCCUUUGUUUAAUAUGUUUUUUUCCUGAUUUUAGUUCAAUUUCUUGGUCUAGUAAUUGGACUAGAUAUGCCAUGUUCAAAUUCACUACUACAUAUGUUAUUUUCUCACUCUCCGAUAGACUACAUGUCUAGUUUAAUCUUUACUAUUAUGGUCAUGUUUUAUCUACUAUUUUUAUGGAAUAAAUCAUAUGGUAAACUGCUCAUAUUUUCAACAUGCCCCAUGUACAUGUAUUGGUGUAACAAACACAUCCUAUGUGGUCGGUCUUCCUUCAUCAAAAUGUUCCAUGGCAAUCCAAUGAGAUUGAUGCCUCUAAUACCUAUGUUUAUAAGAAAAUAUAAGUUUAUUCAAUUAUUGGCAUCAGUAUACAGAAUUGCAUUGCAUAAGCUGAGAAACUUUGUGGCUCUCAUUUUGAUAUGGAACCGAAUUGUCUACAGCAGCACUGAAGAUGAUGCUGGUUGGUUUCGCAUUCCAAUUGAUAAGGUGGGCGAAAGCCUCUUUCUAAGCAGUCACUCUGGCACGACUCAUGAGUGCAACCCGCUAAAUCUCUGCAUGAGCGUCGUUGAACUACAAUGCAAUACAUCACAUAAUAAAACAAAUUAGUAAUACAGUCCAUAAAACAAAAAAAAUUGCUCAUAGAUUAAUUAAUUUCAACAUUUGGAAACAACAUGUAAAAUAUAAAUAAUGUUGCUUACUUGCUUGGCAGGACGACAACGUUGAGAACAUGAACACAAUGACCAAUAAAGCAACAGCUAUGUUGUACACGACCAUCAUUGUGUUUCUCUUGAUGAGUGCCAUGAGGAAAAAUGUGACUUAUGUUCGAUCUUUGUUUUUCAUUUCCAAGCACCUUUACAGGUGUUUAUAUAGACACACAAUAAAAUCUUAGAUAUCAAUUGGUUGAUUUCAUGCAUUUAUGUACCUCCCCUAAUUAUUAUAAGUGUAUCUUGCUAGUUUUACAUAAAUACCAAAGAUUUUAUUUUAGAAAAAAUUAUAUAUUUCAAUAUUAUGGCAUUUAAUGUUGAAGAUAACAUAUUGAGCCAAAAUAAAAUCUUUAGGUAUCGGCACUACAUUUAUGUCUCCAUUAUAAAAUAGUACCCAUACCGAUCUUGUUGGCUAUUUUGUAUCAUCCACACUUAUGUAAGUAUAUCUUACAUUUAUUUUACAUUAUUUUUUGUGUGGUAUAUUGUUUUAGUAUAUACAGAGGCUUGCACAAUCAAAUCUUAUGCAUUGAUGAAUCUUGCAUAUACGAGAUCUCAAAAAUAAAUAUUGCUGUUGUACUCCAUACUCAAGAAUAUUAGGUAUCAUUAUUGCACUUUUUCUGCUAAAUUAAUGUCAAUGUAUCUUACUGAGUCUUAAUAAAUAUCAUGCAAUCGUUUGUAUAUGUUAUAAUUAUUGAUAUUAUUUUUUGCGGCAUUUAUUGACCUCUAUUAUAUGGUGGCAUACAUAAUUAUUGAUAUUGCUUCUUUUCGCUUCAUUUGUAUUAUACAUUGUUAUAAAUUUUGCAUUUAUAUCCUAUCAACAAUAAAUAAAUGCUUGGACAAACGUAAGCUUGUACAUACUGACGACUAUGCAGCCCGUAUGUAGCAACACCAUUGUAGUAAACAUUUCAGAGUUUUUCCCGUUAUGCUUAUAAUCGGCUAUAAUAAUUGAUCUUUGAUGUUUCAUGCUUCAGGGUAUUUAUAAAAAUGUCCCCUGUUUUAUUGAACAAAUGGAAGGGCACAACAACCAAGAUCUUUCUUGUGGGUCUUGCAUAAUUGUAGACUGAUUACAUGGUUUCAUGCUUAUGCACAUCUUAUUAUUCCUAAGUUAAAGUAGGAUUUGCAGUGCUUUAUGCUUGAGUUGAUGUAUGUCAUCUGAAGUAGAAUGGAGCCUGAACCAAGUUGUAUGACUCAUUUUCACUAGGUGCACAUACUGCUGCUCUUCUAUAUGGAAUGUGAUACUGGGGUAUUAAUACUUAGUGUUGCUAUCUCAGAUAUUGCUAAAAAAAUCUCCGGUUUUGUAACUUGGUACGCUUUAGUGGUGCAAUACUUUUCAACUAUUUGCACCUUUUAUUUAAAAGCAUUGUAACCCGUUGACGCUGAAAAGUGGCACGAUCAUAAAGAGUAGCUUGAACUAUGUCAAGAUUAAUUCAAAAUUAUUGUUGAAUUCACUAUGGGAUGGAUCUCUUCGAGAAGAUCAAAAUGGAUAUGAAGAUGGUCUAAAACAGAGCCCGAAUGCAAAAGUUGUGACAAGUUCAAAGAUUGGAUAUAGUAUCGACCGUAUGGUCUCGAUAGCCGUACCGGGACUAAAGGUAUUGGGUUUUAGCGCCGACCCUAUAGUCCCGGUUCCCAGACCAGGACAAAUGGGCCUCAUGAACUGGGACAAAUGGGCCUUUUUCUACUAGUGCAUAUUGGUCCUGCCCAAUAAAUAUUUCAGAAAUUCAUAAUAAAUCCUAGAGGCUAGCUUGGACCAUUCACGCAUGUCAAUAGGUGGGACUAAAGUUUAGUCCUAUAUUGCUAGUUGAGAGAGAGUUACACCUCCUCAUAAGGUGAGCUCUUUCCCCACUUGUAUGAGCAUGAUAAAAAGAGAGGUUCUCACGCGCUCCUCCUCUGCCGCCUGCCUCGCCUCACCUUGCCUCAUCACGACACACUGCGUCACGCCACGGGCUGCGGGAAUGCCUAGAGCAUGCAUGAAGCUGAAGCGUUUUGCUGCUGUAGUUAGUGGAGAUUGGUUACGAGGUUUGUUGGGCUUUGGCUGCUACGUCUCCAUCUCCCGUCUCUUUGUUUCAUUUCCCGUCGCAGCCUAUUUGCCUCCUCUUUCUGUGCUUAUAAAAUAGAGGUCUCUCCUCUCCAUAGACACACAGAAACAGAGCAUCACUUGCCUCCUACUACCAAGUUCCAUAGCACUGCGCUACCAGGUUCUUCCUCAUCCCAGCUUACGGCGUGCACCGCUGAUAGGGGAGAAUGAACACGUCCUAUACAGCCUAUUUGCCUCCUCUUUCUGUGCUUAUAAAAUAGAGGUAUCUCCUCUCCAUAGACACACAGAAACAGAGCACCACUUGCCUCCUACUACCAUGUUCCAGAGCACUACGCUACCAGGUUCUUCUCCAUCCCGGCUUAUGGCGUGCAUCACCGAUAGGGACAGUAGGCCUCCGGAACCACGCGACAUUGAGUCAUGCACGGGUGAAGGGAAAUAAGGUGUUUGGGGAGCGCUCUGUGCGACUACUGGCUUCUCCACCCCAGAUGUCGCUACAGAUGUUGAAGACACUUUCCCCAAUGAUGAAUUCUUUUAGGACAUCGGCAACCUCUUCGGUAACAAGGGCGACAGCAUCGUGAAUGGUGCCGCCCCUGCUCCUGUCUAGGACGUGUUCAUUCUCCGCUAUUUAAUAUGUUUUUUCCUGAUUUUAGUUCAAUUUCCUGUUCUAGUAAUUGGACUAGAUAUGCCUUGUUCAAAUUCACUACUACAUAUGUUAUUUUCUCACUCUCUAUUAGACUACAUGUCUAGUUUAAUCUUUACUAUUAUGGUCAUGUUUUAUCUACUAUUUUUAUGUAUUAAAUCAUAUGGUAGACUGCUCAUAUUUCCAACACGCCCCAUGUACAUGUAUGGGUGUAACAAACACAUCCUAUGUGGUCAGUCUUCCUUCAUUAAAAUGUUCCAUGGCAAUCCAAUGAGAUUGAUGCCUCUAAUACCUAUGUUUAUAAGUUUAUUCAAUUAUUGGCAUCAGUAUACAGCAUUGCAUUGCAUAAGCUGAGAAACUUUGUGGCUCUCAUUUUAAUAUGGAACUGAAUUGUCUACAGCAGCACUGAAGAUGAUGCUGGUUGGUUUCACAUUCCAAUUGAUAAGGUGGACGAAAGCCUCUUUCUAAGCAGUCACUCUGGCACGACUCAUGAGUGCAACCCGCUAAAUCUCUGCAUGAGCGUCGUUGAACUACAAUGCAAUCCAUCACAUAAUAAAAAAAAUUAGUAAUACAGUCCAUAGAACAAAAAUAUUUGCUCAUAGAUUAAUUAAUUUCAACAUUUGGAAACAGCAUGUAAAAUAUAAAUAAUGUUGCUUACUUGCUUGGCAGGACGGCAACUUUGAGAACAUGAACACAAUGACCAAUAAGGCAACAGCUAUGUUGUACAUGACCAUCCUUGUGUUUCUCUUGAUGAGUGCCAUGAGGAAAAAUAUGACUUAUGUUCAAUCUUUGUUUUUCAUUUCCAAGCUCCUUUACAGGUGUUUAUAUAGACGCAC
rnacentral:lncRNA from 1 species